UGGUCGUCGUCGUUCUUUGGAUUAACAUGGGCAAAAUUUAUAUUGACGGGACCUCUUGGGUUUUUGGCAAAUGAAAUGGAGGUGCUACGACGGCUACAGCCCGUGAAUUGUUGCACCAAGGAUCGGAAGUUUUUGGCGUCGGCAUUGAGGAGGGUGACGGGUGUCCUCUUUGAAGCUCUAGAUCGUCUCCUAAUAGACUUUGAUAUACAGGCCUUGGGGGCCAAGUAGUGGUCAACGGCGGCUGCAUAUGAAGUGUUGGAGGUUAAGUUGUUCGUGGUGACGGUGACGGCAGUAGCAUCGGAGAAUCCGAAACAAGCAUCAAUGGUUUGUUCAUACAGUUGCAUCCACUCAGGAGAAGAAGAGGUACACAGAGUUCCAUUCAUGGUUCCAAAGGUGGUGGACAUUUGGUU
rnacentral:lncRNA from 1 species